rnacentral:rRNA from 1 species
CGUACCUUCUCUUCGGAGCAGGAGUGACAGGUGGUGCAUGGUUGUCGUCAGCUCGUGUCGUGAGAUGUUGGGUUAAGUCCCGCAACGAGCGCAACCCUUAUCUUUAGUAGCCAGCGGUUAAGCCGGGCACUCUAGAGAGACUGCCAGGGAUAACCUGGAGGAAGGCGGGGAUGACGUCAAAUCAUCAUGCCCCUUAUGACUUGGGCUACACACGUGCUACAAUGGCGUAAACAAAGGGAAGCAAAGCUGUGAAGCCGAGCAAAUCUCAAAAAUAACGUCUCAGUUCGGACUGUAGUCUGCAACCCGACUACACGAAGCUGGAAUCGCUAGUAAUCGCAGAUCAGAAUGCUGCGGUGAAUACGUUCCCGGGUCUUGUACACACCGCCCGUCACACCAUGGGAGUUGGGAAUGCCCGAAGCCAGUGACCUAACCGAAAGGAAGGAGCUGUCGAAGGCAGGCUCGAUAACUGGGGUGAAGUCGUAACAAGGUAGCCGUAUCGGAAGGUGCGGCUGGAUCACCUCCUUUCUAAGGAA